ACCGUGCUUGAGGUCCUGUGAUGAUCUGCAGGGAAGGGAGUGCAGCAGCUUGGAGUGGGGACAGGGACGGCCUGAAGGAGGAAGUCACGGAGGAGAUAUGUGAGCCAGGUAUUAUGGAAGAAGCAGGGGUACUGGGCUGAGGAUGUCCCAGACACAGAAACACCAUGUGCAAAGGCACCGAGGCAUAAAAGUAUACAGAAUAUUUAGGGGGGAUAUUCAGCAGCCCAUGCACUUGGGGUGCAUGUCUGAGCACCAAUAGGUACAGGGAGUUUAGAGCAGCAGGUAGGAGGAAGACGAAGGUAGAAAAGUAGACCAGGGUUGAACUGUGAAGCCCCCCGUCAGCCAAGCCAAGGAAGCUGACCUUCAACCUGGCCACAGUAAGGAACCACUGGGGUUGGUGCAGCAUGGGAGAGACAUGGUCACAUACUCGCAACUAACAGCGUUACUUAGGCUCCAGCUGUCGCAGGCACAGCACUAGGCUCCUCCGUGUAUUAAUAUAUUAAUGGGAGGCUCUUCUCAGCUGGCUCUGAUGAUAAAUGAAUCUAAGGAGGUUUUCUCCUCUUUGAUUCAUGCAAUUAUUCCUGGAGAAAUGGCCAAUAUUGGAGCAAUUUUUCCUCUCUGAAGAGCCAGACUGGCUGGCUAACAGUGAAGGCAAGGGGAAGGGAUCCCGCACCAGCACCGACCCCCACAGCCAGGCUGCUGGGAGCAGCGCUUGGAAAUCUUCGGAAGCUCCUCACACGCCUCAUGGUUCUCGCUCUGAAGGCUUGGGAAGAGCCUGAAAGUGGGGAAUGGUGGAGGUGACGGGAGCCAUAGAGGAAGAAAACAGAGGGAAAUCCCUUUAGCUGGACAAGGAUUUAUGACUGUCUGCAUUUCUAUGAACAAGAGACGGGCAAGGUGGGUGGGUGGCAGCCACCUUGCAGCUUCCAAACCCCACUCACAGCAGGAAAGGGUCUCUCCCUCCCCUUCUGUCUCUUCUCUCUCCCCCCCACCAUCCUCCCUAGCUCCUCUCCAGAAAGGUUUAUGGAGAAGGCUCCAAAUAGCCCCCUCUCCUGCAGGCACAGUCACACCAACUGAAAGGAGAUUUAAUUAGCAAAAUCUCGUUAGGCAAACGAAAUUAUCCGUAAGACAAUACUCUUCUGGACAGGGGGUAUGAUUAAACAAAGCCAUUAAUUGAGAGAGUCGCGUUGGCAGCUCCCCGAUGCGAUGCACUCAUCUCUGGGCAGGCUCCACUCUGCCUCCUUGGACCAGGGGCACAGACUCUUUGCCUCCUCCCCCGUCCAGCCCACCCUCUCCCCACUUCAUCUUGCUCUUGGGGGGAGGGGGCCCUCCAGUUGGGGCUGCAGACCUCGGUUUCUCAUCAGCGGCCUCUUCGCCACCAGAUUCCUGCUAAAGUGCCUUGAUUGCAUAAUGCCUAUUUGCAUAAUGUAAAUUGCAAUCUCCUAGCUCAGGAGGCAGGAAUCACAGAACAGCCAUUAUUUUUUACCACUCCACAAAAAUUCUACAUUUAGAAAGCAGAUUUGCAGCUCAGAAAGCUGUAUAAAUCUGAAUCCGCCAGAAACGCCAUUAAAUCACACCAAUUAAGCCGGACCAACGAAGAGCCCCUGUCACUGCUCUCUUGUACACUCAAGGACUCCCAGUGCAGACGGAGGCCACGAGAAACUGGAGGCUGUGGCAGCCAGGCUGGGAGCAGAAGCUGGAAGAGGCAGGAAAUUCUGUCUUGUAAACCUUAGCACACACCCCAAGCAGAGGCUCCCAUCAAGACCUGGUCCAGCACUGAGAGAGGCAGCUCCACUGCUGAAUGAAUGGCUGAACCAUGGCUGAGUGCCUAUGCUGUGCCAGGAAUGGCUCUGGGUGCCCGCACAUGCUGGAUUUCACUGACUCUCACGGCAUCCUGGAUAAAACAAUUUUUUAAAAACCAAGCACAAAUUUAUCAGGUGUCUGCUCCGUGUUCUACGCACACUGAAGCAGCAGGAAUCAAAUCCGUGGGUCCUGUUACAAAAGCAUCACCUCCACGUCCCUGAGGAAGUGAGAUCACUCAUAUGAAAUAACGUCCAAGAAGACAAGACUAUCAGAGACGCUCAUUCUCUCUCCACAGAGACAUGAAGUCUGCAAGCACUCAAGGGAGUUUUCCAGAAGAGGGAGAACUUCGCUGGUAGAAGGAAGAGAGGGGGCAUUCCAAAGAAGGGGGGAUAUCUGAGCAAGGGCCAGGAGUGGGAGAUCACAGAGGGUCCUGGGACAAUGCAGAGGUUGGUGUGCCUCAAAGAGACCAGAGCAGGGAAUAAUGCCAGGGGUGGGGCUGGAGCAUCCAGGGGGGCUGCCAGUGUCCGGCAAGGGCAGUCAGGCUGACCUAUGAGCCUUAGAGCCUUUGAAGGUUUUUGAACAAGGAAAUGACAUGAUGUAGAGCCCCACAAUCCCCACCCCAUUGAGUAUUUUCCCUUUAACUAAGAUAAGAAAGGCUUCUUGGAAGAAGGUGGAAUUGCAGUUAGAAGAUUCAGGCUUGGGCAUGGUGAGAUGUGCUCAUGGAAAUAAAUCGUCCCUCUUGUUCGUAACAGUGUCCUCCAGGCAAAGGCACCUCCUCUGGGGCUGUGUACUAGCAGCAGCAAGAUCAAGAUUCACAGCUCAUGGAGCUACCUCAGAGACAGGACCAGACUACUGGACGACAAGCCACUGAGGACAAGGACCAUGUCUCCUGCAUGUUUACAUUCCCAGAACCUAGCAGAGGGCACAGCAUGUGUUGGGUUCUCAGUAAAUAUCUGCUGAAACAUUGAAUGGUGGAACCCUGUUCAUUCCAACCAGAAUCUACAACCAGCACCUAAAAACCAGGCCCUGGCUAGGAAUGGGUUCCAAUUCGUGUUAUUCUAGACUACUUAUGCUACUACUGAGCACUGCAUGAACUCAGUACACAAAGCCUUUAGAUUAAAUUACAGAGCUGUAUGCUCUAUCCCUGCCCUCUGGGACUGUCCGUCUGAGACUCCAGUGACUUGGAAGAAGAUAUGGCAGACCUUCCAUGUGCACAUGAUGUAAAAAGUGGGUACUGUGCUGGAGAGACAGAGUCAAGAUUGUUAUGAAGCUUUUAACAAGCUGAAAGGAUGGGCCAAAACUAAAAAGUCCAUUUUUUCCUCUAACAGUUUUUAUUUCUUGCACAAUAACAUCAUGAUGACCACAGAGGAAAUAAUUUUGAAAAUACAGAAAAAUUGCCCACAAUCUCAUUACUCUACACCAUCAAAUUAUAUGCUAUGUCCACAUGCAUACCUACUUUUUUCCCUUUUAACAGAAUCUUUUGCAGAAAAAGAUUUGACAAGAAUAUAAACACCAAAUCCUGCUCUUAAACUCAAAAAUCUAUUGCGAAAACCAGAGUGGGCUGACCUGAUUUGAAAAAAAGGACAUGGAUUAUAUGAGUUAAAUACAAACUCAAGAUGAGCCCAGGGUGUUGCUGCCACAGUGUUGCUGCCAGAUUUACUCAAUGUGACGUCUGGUUGCAUUAAUAGCCAUCCUAUGCCCAGCGGAGGGGCGAAUGAUCUCCACUCUGGACUUAUCAGUCCAUAUUAGUUCUAUAUGCAUUUCUGGCAUAAUGUAUUAAGUACUUUGACAGCAAUGAGUAGAAAAGAGAGGUAAGAGAAGAUGUCCAGUGGUUAGACAGUGGGUUAAAAGUCUAGUUGUUCCAGGCUCUGGAAUGACACUGUAUAGGUUUUGAUCCUGGCUUGACCAUGGUCCUCCAUGCUUCAGUUUUUCAUCUGUAAAAUAGGGCUAUUAUAAGUUCUACCUCUGAGGGUGGUGGUGAGGACUGAAUGACUUCAUAUACCAUAAGGUGCUUAGAACAGUACCUCACACAAAAUCAGCACCCACGGAAUGUUAGCUAUCACUGCUGCUCUUGCUGUUUUCAGUCUUGUUAGGAAGCUGUGAGGUACAUUUGUCCCUCUCUAAAAUUAUCCGUUGGUCCUGGUUCUAGUGAUUAAAGCAAUAUGAUCCCUCUCUUACAUGACAGCCCUCCAAAUAUUUGAAGAAACUAUGUGAAAGAAGGACUUUUUUGCUCUAGAGAGUGGGAGUGGGAUUAGGACUAACUGUAGACACUAGAGGAAGCCAAUCUGCAGUGCAAUAUAAGAAAGAAUUCUCUGGCAAUGACAACCAUCCAAAAUGAGUUAGGCUUCCUUGGAAGGGAGUGCACUUCCAACACUGAAAGGAGAAUUCUGCACUGGGUGAGAAGCUUCUCUGAAGCAUGGUUUCCCAGAUUUGGGUUUCAGCCAUCAGUAAAAUAUUGAAAAACAUUAGAAGAUGGAUAGCAUUGAAAAACUUAUAUUUUGAUAAAACAUUAAUGGUGUCUUCUCUUAGCAUCAUUUCGUGAAACAAUUCCAUCCUCCAAAGCAAGAAGGGUAAAAAUAUCUUACAAUAAAGAGCCAUACGAAUUGAUAAAUAGAGCCAGCCUCAUGAAAAGCAUUCUCUCUCUCUCUCUCUCUCUCUCUCUCUCUGUCACACACACGCACACGCGCGCGCGUGGACACACACACACACACACACACACACACACACCUGUGUGCAUAUGCAACCUCUCCACAUUCUCCUUUUCUCCUUAUUUUUCACUCAUCACCAUGCCCCAGUGGCAC